GGAAUCUUGGACAAUGGGGGAAACCCUGAUCCAGCGACGCCGCGUGACCGAUGAAGCCUUUCGGGGUGUAAAGGCCUUUAAGCGGGGACUAUCCUGAAGGUACCCGCAGCAGCCGCUGCGGCUAACUACGUGCCAGCAGCCGCGGGAAUACGUAGGCAGCAAGCGUUGUUCGGAAUUACUGGGCGUAAAGCGAGUGUAGGCGGUCUGCCAAGUCUGUUGGGAAAUCUCCCGGCUCAACUGGGAGGGGGCGACGGAAACUGGCAGGCUUGAGUGCGGGAGAGGAGAGUGGAAUUCCUGGUGUAGCGGUGAAAUGCGUAGAUAUCAGGAGGAACACCGGUGGUGAAGACGGCUCUCUGGACCGCCACUGACGCUGAGACUCGAAAGCGUGGGGAGCAAAC
rnacentral:rRNA from 1 species